rnacentral:rRNA from 1 species
CCUACGGGGUGCUGCAGUGGGGAAUAUUGGACAAUGGGCGAAAGCCUGAUCCAGCCAUGCCGCGUGUGUGAAGAAGGCCUUCGGGUUGUAAAGCACUUUCAGUGGGGAAGAAAGCCUUGGGGCUAAUACCCUCGAGGAAGGACAUCACCCACAGAAGAAGCAUCGGCUAACUCCGUGCCAGCAGCCGCGGUAAUACGGAGGGUGCGAGCGUUAAUCGGAAUUACUGGGCGUAAAGCGCGCGUAGGCGGUCUGAUAAGCCGGUUGUGAAAGCCCCGGGCUCAACCUGGGAACGGCAUCCGGAACUGUCAGGCUAGAGUGCAGGAGAGGAAGGUAGAAUUCCCGGUGUAGCGGUGAAAUGCGUAGAGAUCGGGAGGAAUACCAGUGGCGAAGGCGGCCUUCUGGACUGACACUGACGCUGAGGUGCGAAAGCGUGGGUAGCAAACAGGAUUAGAUACCCGAGUAGUC